rnacentral:rRNA from 1 species
GAUGAACGCUAGCUACAGGCUUAACACAUGCAAGUCGAGGGGCAGCAUUAUCUUAGCUUGCUAAGAUAGAUGGCGACCGGCGCACGGGUGAGUAACACGUAUCCAACCUUCCGGUUACUCGGGGAUAGGCUUUCGAAAGAAAGAUUAAUACCCGAUGUUGCGUACCUUUCUCCUGAAAGAUACGCCAAAGGAUUCCGGUAACCGAUGGGGAUGCGUUCCAUUAGGCAGUUGGCGGGGUAACGGCCCACCAAACCUUCGAUGGAUAGGGGUUCUGAGAGGAAGGUCCCCCACAUUGGAACUGAGACACGGUCCAA